AGGGAAUCUUCCGCAAUGGACGAAAGUCUGACGGAGCAACGCUGCGUGAGUGAUGAAGGUUUUCGGAUCGUAAAGCUCUGUUGCCAGGGAAGAACGUCCGUUAGAGUAACUGCUAACGGAGUGACGGUACCUGAGAAGAAAGCCCCGGCUAACUACGUGCCAGCAGCCGCGGUAAUACGUAGGGGGCGAGCGUUGUCCGGAAUUAUUGGGCGUAAAGCGCGCGCAGGCGGCUGUUUAAGUCUGGUGGUUAAUCCUGGGGCUCAACCCCGGGUCGCACUGGAAACUGGACAGCUUGAGUGCAGAAGAGGAGAGUGGAAUUCCACGCGUAGCGGUGAAAUGCGUAGAGAUGUGGAGGAACACCAGUGGCGAAGGCGACUCUCUGGGCUGAAACUGACGCUGAGGCGCGAAAGCGUGGGGAGCAAAC
rnacentral:rRNA from 1 species